AAAACCGAUGGGAAAGAAAAGGGGAAAAACGGGCGCGAUUUUGAGGGAAGAGUAUUGCCACCGGUUUAAAACGAACCGGUGGGAAAAUAUUAAUCCCACUGGUUUGAACCGGUGGCUUUGUUAAAAAAAAAAAACGCGCUCAUAUGAAUAGGCCAAAACCCUAGCCUCUCAUGCAUCGCCUCCCUCCUCCUCCUCUCUUCUCUCUCUCUCUUCUUUCUCCUCUGCUUCUCUUUCCUCAACUAGCUAGAUCUCUCUGCUUCUCUCUCAUUAUCAACAACCAUCAUCGCCGCCGCCCCUUCUCUCAUCUGCUUCUCUUUCGUUCUCUCAUUAGGGCUCAGUUGCAAAAUCGAAAAUCUCCCCUAAAAACAUAAAACUCCGGAGAAAGCUCAACAACGGCGGACGGAGGCGACAUGGAAAUCUCUCUUGACAAACUCCCUAGCAAACACCUCGAAAUCAUCGAAGAAUUCAGCGUCGAACGCUUCUCAUCUUACAUUAUCUCUCCUCCAUCUUUACAAUUGCUUAAUUUGACCUAAUUUUUCUGUAAUUUUUGUUGAUUUUGAUUUUAAAUUAUGGAAUAUUUUCAGCGACAUCGAAUACGAAGAGAAAUCAGUGAACUUGAUUCGGACUUUGCUUGGGCGUUGGAGAGAGAUGCGAAGAAGCAGAAGAAGACGAAGGAAUCAUCAGCGCCCUCCACAUUGCAAGGGGUGAUUGAGAAUUUGAGAUUGGCUUAUCAAGAGCUCUCUAUUAUCAUUGAUUUAAUUAACACUCCAGGUUGGUUCUUGCUUUGGGGGCUAAACCAAAGCUCGACAUGGUACCAAGGGUUGUAGAAUAUGCUCUGCCAUUUUCCACUUUUGAGGAUACAUGUAACUACAGGAAAAAUGAGGAGACUGCGGUUGAGAAGAUAAAGGAGCCUAUUUUUGAUGAGAUCACUCAUGCCUUAAUCGGACGCUAUGGGUUGAAUUUCACUAGACAAGAUAUAUCUUCUCUCCGGUUUUAAUGCAAGCAGGUUCUAGAAUUUCAUCUAAGAAGUUCAAUUUUUUACUAAGAUAUGGGGCUUCUUUUGUGCUAGUGUUCUGCUUCUGUGCUGCUCCUUAUGUGUUGUUGUUCUGCACUUCUGCUACUGUGUAGCUGCAUAUGUUUGUAACCUUGUAAUUUAUUUUAAUUUUUUAGACAAAAAUUGUAAUAUUACAACAUUUUUUUUUUAUGAAAAUAUGUA